AUUGAACGCUGGCGGCAGGCUUAACACAUGCAAGUCGAGCGGGGUGAUGGUGCUUGCACUAUCACUUAGCGGCGGACGGGUGAGUAAUGCUUAGGAAUCUGCCUAUUAGUGGGGGACAACAUUUCGAAAGGGAUGCUAAUACCGCAUACGUCCUACGGGAGAAAGCAGGGGAUCACUUGUGACCUUGCGCUAAUAGAUGAGCCUAAGUCGGAUUAGCUAGGUGGUGGGGUAAAGGCCUACCAAGGCGACGAUCUGUAGCGGGUCUGAGAGGAUGAUCCGCCACACUGGGACUGAGACACGGGCCAGACUCCUACGGGAGGCAGCAGUGGGGAAUAUUGGACAAUGGGGGGAACCCUGGUCCAGCCAUGCCGCGUGUGUGAAGAAGGCCCUAUGGUUGUAAAGCACUUUAAGCGAGGAGGAGGCUCUUUUGGUUAAUACCCAAGAUGAGUGGACGUUACUCGCAGAAUAAGCACCGGCUAACUCUGUGCCAGCAGCCGCAGUAA
rnacentral:rRNA from 1 species